UGGGGAAUCUUCCGCAAUGGGCGAAAGCCUGACGGAGCAACGCCGCGUGAGUGAAGACGGCCUUCGGGUUGUAAAACUCUGUGAUUCGGGACGAAAGAUAAGCAGACGAAUAAUCUGCAUAAGUGACGGUACCGAAAAAGCAAGCCACGGCUAACUACGUGCCAGCAGCCGCGGUAAUACGUAGGUGGCAAGCGUUGUCCGGAAUUAUUGGGCGUAAAGCGCGCGCAGGCGGCUACUUAAGUCCAUCUUAAAAGUGCGGGGCUUAACCCCGUGAUGGGAUGGAAACUGAGAAGCUGGAGUGUCGGAGAGGAAAGUGGAAUUCCUAGUGUAGCGGUGAAAUGCGUAGAUAUAUGGAGGAACACCGGUGGCGAAAGCGGCUCUCUGGUCUGUAACUGACGCUGAGGCUCGAAAGCGUGGGGAGCGAACAGG
rnacentral:rRNA from 1 species